GUGCUCACUUUGGUAACACAUAUACUAAAAUUGGAAUGAUACAGAAAAGAUUAGUAUGGCCCCUGCACAAGGAUGACAUGGAAAUUUGUGAAGUGGUUCUAUAUUUU
rnacentral:snRNA from 1 species